rnacentral:rRNA from 1 species
CCUAAACACAUGCAAGUCGAACGGCUCUUCGGAGCAGUGGCGGACGGGUAGUAACACGUGGGAACGUAGGCCCCUUUGGUACGGAACAACUGAGGGAAACUUCAGCUAAUACCGUAUGUGCCCUUCGGGGGAAAGAUUUAUCGCCAUUGGAGCGGCCCGCGUUGGAUUAGGUAGUUGGUAGGGGUAAUGGCCUACCAAGCCUACGAUCCAUAGCUGGUCUGAGAGGAUGAUCAGCCACACUGGGACUGAGACACGGCCCAGACUCCUACGGGAGGCAGCAGUGGGGAAUCUUGCGCAAUGGGCGAAAGCCUGACGCAGCCAUGCCGCGUGUAUGAUGAAGGUCUUAGGAUUGUAAAUACUUUCACCGGGGAAGAUAAUGACGGUACCCGGAGAAGAAGCCCCGGCUAACUUCGUGCCAGCAGCCGCGGUAA